rnacentral:rRNA from 1 species
UACAGAGGGUGCAAGCGUUAAUCGGAUUUACUGGGCGUAAAGCGCGCGUAGGCGGCCAAUUAAGUCAAAUGUGAAAUCCCCGAGCUUAACUUGGGAAUUGCAUUCGAUACUGGUUGGCUAGAGUGUGGGAGAGGAUGGUAGAAUUCCAGGUGUAGCGGUGAAAUGCGUAGAGAUCUGGAGGAAUACCUAUGGCGAAGGCAGCCAUCUGGCCUAACACUGACGCUGAGGUGCGAAAGCAUGGGGAGCAAACAGG